AAAAGAAGAACAAAGACUAAGAAACGCCACCUCCUGUGGCAACGUCUUUGUGACCCACUUCCUGUGGG
rnacentral:sRNA from 1 species